rnacentral:snoRNA from 1 species
AUCCCAUGAUGAGGAAACUUACGAAGUAACUCCUUGAACCGCUCCAAAGCCUCAUACAAAGACUCGUCAUCCAAUUGUUGGAAAGAUGUGAUCUCGUUCCUCANNNN